rnacentral:snRNA from 1 species
GUGCUUCAUCAGCACAUAUACUAAAAUUGGAAUGAUAUAAACAAGAUUAGCAUGUCCCCUGUGCAAGGAUGACAAGCAAAUUUGUGAAGCAUUCCAUAUUUUU